CUCUCCCUCUCCUUCCUCUUCCCCUCCCCCUCCUUCCCCUUCUGAAGAUGUAAUAAUGAGUGACAAAGAAAACAAAGAAAACAAUCCUGCCCAAGAACAAAAUAGCUAAUUGUAUUAUCCUUGAAAAUAAAAAUUUUAAAGUUUAAAAAAAAAAAAAAAAAAAAGUGAGA
rnacentral:ribozyme from 13 species